rnacentral:rRNA from 1 species
UACGUAGGGUGCAAGCGUUAAUCGGAAUUACUGGGCGUAAAGCGUGCGCAGGCGGUUUUGUAAGUCAGAUGUGAAAUCCCCCGGGCUUAACCUGGGAACUGCGUUUGAAAACUACAAGGCUAGAGUGUGGCAGAGGGGGGGUGGAAUUCCACGUGUAGCAGUGAAAUGCGUAGAGAUGUGGAGGAACACCGAUGGCGAAGGCAGCCCCCUGGGUUAACACUGACGCUCAGGCACGAAAGCGUGGGGAGCAAACAGG